rnacentral:rRNA from 1 species
AUGGUCCUGCUCACCGCCGUCCACUUCGCCAAGCAGGGCUUCGUCGUCGCCGCCGUCGACCACCAGGGGCACGGCUUCUCCGAGGGCUUCCAGGCCCACAUCCCGGACAUCGGCCCCGUGCUCGACGACUGCGAGGCCGGCUUCGCCCCCUUCCGCGCUGACUACCCUCCCCCGCUGCUCUGCUUCCUCUACGGGGAGUCCCUCGGCGGCGCCAUCGCGCUGCUGCUGCACCUCACCAAAUCAGACACAGGUGUCGCGCGCGCGAGCAUCGCACCGCCCAGGGCCCGCAGCCCGCAGGCACUGAAGCAAGAUGUGGACGCCCGCAUCGUUCCGCUGCAGCCGCCGUCGGUGGGUCCAGGGCAGCACCUCCUCCGUGUCGCCCGUCAAACCACCGCCCCGGCCCCGGCGCCACCCGCAACAGCCCGACGCCGUGCUGCCGCGCCGAACCCGGCGAGGCGGCCUCCAUUCUCCCAAGCGAGCACGCCUUCCAUCUUAUCGUCUUCCGCCGCGACGCCUCGCCCCAAGCGAGAAGGCCAGCCGCCGGGACGCCUCGCCCCCUUCCUAGGCUCGGGCGGCGCGGACGCCCGCCGUGACACCUCUCCCCUUCCUUGGCUACCGCGGCGACGCCUCGCCCAUUCCUGGGCUCGGGCGGCGCGGACGCCGCCGGCAAGAUGCGGUGGUGGAGGACGGCGCGCAGGCGCCGGCGGCGAGCGGCGUGCCCGGCGGUGGAGUACGGCAAUGUAUAAGCCGCGGCGGAGAACGGCAAUGGACGCAGGGGGCUUUUUGCAAAAUCCAACCGUUUUUUCAGGACCACACAUUAAAUAG